rnacentral:tRNA from 1 species
UCCCUGGUGGUCUAGUGGCUAAGAUUCUGCACUUCCAAUGCCAGAGGCUCAGGUUUGAUCCCUAGUCAGGGAA